rnacentral:lncRNA from 1 species
UGCUUUCUCGGAACACUUGAAACAAGAUGGAUUGUUGCACACUACUUGCGGAACACCGGCUUAUGUGGCGCCUGAAGUUAUUGGGAAAAAAGGGUACGAUGGAGCUAAGGCAGAUAUUUGGUCUUGUGGGGUGAUUCUUUAUGUGCUUCUUGCCGGGUUCCUACCAUUUCAAGAUGAUAACUUGGUGGCCAUGUAUAGGAAGAUUUAUAGGGGAGAUUUCAAGUGCCCACCUUGGUUUUCCCCUGAAGCUCGAAGAUUAAUCACCAAGCUUUUAGACCCAAAUCCAAGUACCCGAAUCACCAUCUCAAAGAUCAUGGACUCGUCUUGGUUCAAGAAAUCUAUGCCCAAGACCGUGAGAACCAAGGAAGAGUUAGAGUUUGAAGCAUUCAAUGGUGAC